AUACGGAGGGUGCAAGCGUUAUACGGAAUCACUGGGCGUAAAGGACGCGUAGGCGGGUUGGCAAGUCAGAUGUGAAAUCCUACAGCUUAACUGUAGAACUGCAUUUGAAACUGCUAACCUAGAGUAUGGGAGGGGGAGAUGGAAUUAGUGGUGUAGGGGUAAAAUCCGUAGAUAUCACUAGGAAUACCGAAAGCGAAGGCGAUCUCCUGGAACAUAACUGACGCUAAGGCGUGAAAGCGUGGGGAGCAAACAGGAGUAGAAACCCUAGUAGUCC
rnacentral:rRNA from 1 species